GCAGCAUGAACUUAGCUUGCUAAGUUUGAUGGCGACCGGCGCACGGGUGAGUAACACGUAUCCAACCUGCCGAUGACUCGGGGAUAGCCUUUCGAAAGAAAGAUUAAUACCCGAUGGCAUAGUUCUUCCGCAUGGUAGGACUAUUAAAGAAUUUCGGUCAUCGAUGGGGAUGCGUUCCAUUAGCUUGUUGGCGCGGUAACGGCCCACCAAGGCAUCGAUGGAUAGGGGUUCUGAGAGGAAGGUCCCCCACAUUGGAACUGAGACACGGUCCAAACUCCUACGGGAGGCAGCAGUGAGGAAUACUGGUCAAUGGGCGCUAGCCUGAACCAGCCAAGUAGCGUGAAGGAUGACUGCCCUAUGGGUUGUAAACUUCUUUUAUAUGGGAAUAAAGUGCAGUAUGUAUACUGCUUUGCAUGUACCUUAUGAAUAAGGAUCGGCUAACUCCGUGCCAGCAGCCGCGGUAAUACGGAGGAUCCGAGCGUUAUCCGGAUUUAUUGGGUUUAAAGGGAGCGUAGGCGGGUUGUUAAGUCAGUUGUGAAAGUUUGCGGCUCAACCGUAAAAUUGCAGUUGAUACUGGCAUCCUUGAGUACAGUAGAGGUAGGCGGAAUUCGUGGUGUAGCGGUGAAGUGCUUAGAUAUCACGAAGAACUCCGAUUGCGAAGGCAGCCUGCUGGACUGUAACUGACGCUGAUGCUCGAAAGUGUGGGUAUCAAACAGG
rnacentral:rRNA from 1 species